rnacentral:tRNA from 1 species
UGCCCGAUAGCUCAAUUGGCAGAGCGCCUGACUCUGGAUCAGGAGGUUCCAGGUUCGAGACCUGGUCGGGCAGCCA